rnacentral:piRNA from 1 species
UGACCUCCAUACUUACGCCAUGGUCC